rnacentral:rRNA from 1 species
UACGUAGGGGGCUAGCGUUGUCCGGAUUUAUUGGGCGUAAAGAGCGUGUAGGCGGCCAGGUAGGUCCGCUGUGAAAGUCCGAGGCUCAACCUCGGAAUGUCGGCGGAAACCCUCUGGCUAGAGUCCGGAAGAGGAGAGUGGAAUUCCUGGUGUAGCGGUGAAAUGCGCAGAUAUCAGGAGGAACACCUAUUGCGAAGGCAGCUCGCUGGGACGUAACUGACGCUGAGACGCGAAAGCGUGGGGAGCAAACAGG